rnacentral:rRNA from 1 species
UACGUAGGGGGCUAGCGUUGUCCGGAUUUAUUGGGCGUAAAGAGCGUGUAGGCGGCCAGGUAGGUCUGCUGUGAAAACUCGAGGCUCAACCUCGAGAUGUCGGCGGAAACCAUCUGGCUAGAGUCCGGAAGAGGAGAGUGGAAUUCCUGGUGUAGCGGUGAAAUGCGCAGAUAUCAGGAGGAACACCAAUAGCGAAGGCAGCUCGCUGGGACGUUACUGACACUGAGGCGCGAAAGCGUGGGGAGCGAACAGG